GGGAUAUAAAUAUUAGGUAUCCCAUCGUACGCCGAAAAUCUCAAUUUCCAGCCCUAAAUUUUCAAACACAACACAUCUUUUCACAGACAAUCCUACAGAUCUGAAAAUCAACAAGAAGAUGACGGAUUACGAAGAAAGGUACGAAGGGAACGGUGAAGAUGUUGAAACCUUUCACGGCGGAGGCUCUUCUCCUCCGCCUGGAGCCAACGGCGACGGCGGCACCGAAGAGUUUAGCGAUUCCAAGUCACAGCGUGGUUCUCGUGACUAUGAAAGAGAGUCCUCGAAAAGCAGGUCAAAGGACAGGGAGAGAGGGCGGGAUAAGGAUCGCGAUAGGGAGAAGGACCGUGAUAGGGAUAAAGAGCGGGACAGAGAAAAAAGCAGAGACAAGGACAGGGAAAAAAGUAGAGACCGGGACAGAGAAAGGGAUCGAGACAAAGAUCGUGAUCGGCAUAGGGACCGUUACAGGGAACGGAGUGAAAGAAGGGACAGAGAUAGAGACGACGAUGACUAUCGCAGAAGUCGAGAUUAUGAUAGGCGGAGAGAUUAUGACAGAGAUAGAGAGGAUAGGCGUAGUAGACGUCGGUCUCGUUCUCGCUCUCGUUCAAGAGCCAAAUCCGAACGUAGAUCACGGUCUCGUUCUCGUUCACGCUCCAAAAGCAGCAAAAGAGUUAGUGGAUUCGAUAUGGCGCCUCCAGCUUCCGCAAUCUUGGCUGGUGCUGCUGCUGUUACUGCAGGUCAGGUCCCUGGGGCCGCACCAGCCAUUCCUGGAAUGUUUCAGAACAUGUUUCCUUUGGCACCGGGCCAGUUUGGAGGUCUUCCUGUCAUGCCAGUUCAAGCAAUGACUCAACAGGCUACUAGACAUGCAAGGCGGGUUUAUGUUGGUGGUCUUUCUCCAAGUGCUAAUGAACAGACUGUCGCGACGUUCUUUAGUCAUGUUAUGGCUGCCAUCGGUGGAAAUACUGCUGGUCCAGGUGAUGCUGUUGUCAACGUUUACAUUAAUCAUGAAAAGAAGUUCGCUUUUGUUGAGAUGAGAUCUGUCGAGGAGGCCAGUAAUGCAAUGUCUUUGGAUGGUAUUAUAUUCGAGGGAGCGCCUGUGAAGGUCAGGAGACCUAGUGAUUACAAUCCAUCAUUGGCUGCUGCUCUCGGUCCAAGUCAACCUAAUCCUAAUCUAAACCUAGCUGCUGUUGGUCUAACACCCGGUUCCGCCGGUGGGCUCGAGGGUCCUGACCGCAUAUUUGUGGGCGGGCUUCCGUACUAUUUUACUGAAGCUCAGGUUAGGGAGCUACUGGAGUCUUUCGGGGCUCUCCGGGGGUUCGAUCUCGUGAAAGACAGAGAAACUGGCAACUCGAAAGGUUAUGCGUUCUGUGUGUAUCAAGAUCUAUCUGUCACAGAUAUUGCUUGUGCGGCUCUUAAUGGUAUUAAAAUGGGUGACAAAACUCUUACGGUUAGACGCGCUAACCAAGGUCAAAUCCAACCAAAUCCCGAACAGGAAAGUGUACUCUUACAUGCCCAACAACAAAUUGCGUUGCAGAGAAUGAUGUUGCAACCUGGGGCGAUUGGCACGCCUGCCACUAAGGUUUUAUCUUUGACACAAGUGGUAACCGAAGAGGAGCUCGUAAACGAUGAAGAUUACGAGGACAUAAUGGAAGACAUGAAAAUAGAAUGCGGAAAAUUUGCCUUUUGCUAUAAAGAAUCUUCCCCUAACAUUCAGACAGAAGCUUCCCUUACCACCAGUUUAUGCCCAUAUCUGAUAUGUAUAGUUUAUGAAAUAUAAUUUUUAUUUAAUUUUGCAGGUAGUUUAGUCAACGUUGUUAUCCCACGCCCGAAUCCUAAUGGUGAACCCGUAGCAGGGGUUGGAAAGGUUUUCUUAGAGUAUGCGGAUACAGAAAGUUCAACAAAGGCUCGUGCUGGAUUAAACGGAAGGAAAUUUGGUGGUAACCAAGUCGUGGCGAGCUUUUACCCGGAGGAUAAGUUCAACGAGGGCGUGUAUGAUGGAUAGUUAUACAACUGUCUUUGCUUGUAGCUUCUACCUGGAGACUGUUUAACGCUUAUGACUACUAGUUUGUCGUUUGUUUUUUCGGAAUAUUUUGUUCUAUUCCCAAAUUUUUGAUAAAUGCAUUAGUGAACUUUAACCUAGUUA